GUGUCAGCAGCCGCGGUAAUACGUAGGGGGCGAGCGUUGUCCGGAUUCAUUGGGCGUAAAGCGCUUUAAGGCGGUUCGCUAAGUCGGGUGUGAAACCUCCAGGCUCAACCUGGAGACGCCACUCGAUACUGGCGUGACUAGAGUUCGGUAGGGGAUCACGGAAUUCCUGGUGUAGCGGUGAAAUGCGCAGAUAUCAGGAGGAACACCGGUGGCGAAGGCGGUGAUCUGGGCCGACACUGACGCUGUAGAGCGAAAGCGUGGGGAGCGAACAGGAUUAGAUACCCUGGUAGUCCACGCCGUAAACGUUGGGCACUAGGUGUGGGGGAUUAUCAACGUCCUCCGUGCCGUAGCUAACGCAUUAAGUGCCCCGCCUGGGGAGUACGGCCGCAAGGCUAAA
rnacentral:rRNA from 1 species